rnacentral:rRNA from 1 species
UAACACGUGGGUAACCUGCCUCAAAGGGGGGAAUAGCCUCCCGAAAGGGAGAUUAAUACCGCAUAAUAUGUUUUGGUCGCAUGAUCGAAACAUCAAAGGAUUUUCUUCGGAAAAUUCCACUUUGAGAUGGACCCGCGGCGCAUUAGCUAGUUGGUGAGGUAACGGCCCACCAAGGCAACGAUGCGUAGCCGACCUGAGAGGGUGAUCGGCCACAUUGGAACUGAGACACGGUCCAG